AGAAAAAGAAAUCAAAGUAGUCAAGGAAAAAAACAUGGCAGCGGCAAGUUUGUGUUCAGAUAUUGCUCGCAGGCUAACGGGUUAGGUUAGGUCAUGCUAUAUAAAUUCUAGCCUACUCUGGGCGAAGCAGCAUCACACCCAAUGCCAACAUUCAAAUUGGCCAAAUGGUUACAAUUCACGAGGAUAAUACACCUCCCCAGGAAUGGAUCCUUGGUCGCAUCACCGACACGCAUGUCGGAGCUGAUGGACGAGGACGAUAUCAAGGUGAAAAAUGGAACAAUUUUAAGACCCAUCUGUAAGAUAGCUCCCCUGCUCCCCUCCUUGGAUCAUUCAUCGGGCGAAGAAUGUUCGGUGAAAUCAUAAGUCAAUAUUAAUUCUGAUUCAAUUAUUAUUAUUUUAUAAAGAACUUCGUCUAAGCUAA